AUGCAAUUGGGGGAGCACACACAUCCCCAGAAGGACCCCGGAUGCCUGGCUGUCUCUUACCCAACCCCUGCCCCCAGCUACAGCUGAGGGGCCAGCGUGCCCUGUAGAUUACUCCUGAAGAGAAACCAACGUCACCACCCGCAAGCACCCCAACGCUCCUCAUCCUGAGCCCCAUCUCUGCCCCAUCUUGGCUCCCCAGGCAUAUUUAAAUAUUGCCCCUCCCACCCCCGUGCCUGGCAGAUCCCCUGGCACUGAGACCCAGCCAGUGGCUCCGGCCAACGCACUUGGCUCCUGUAGCAAGUUAAAUCUAACCCAGCCCAGCUGUCUCUCCUCCGGCUCCCACCUGUCCCUCCCGUUCCCUGAAGGGAUGUGCCCACAUCCUGCCCACCCUAAACGGGCCCUCAGGAAGGGCACAGAGGUCCCCAGGGUCCCCCACUUUCCCACGCUUGGGAAGCCCUUUGCCUAGCGGUCUCUGGGGUCUCUGCCCUGGCCAUGGAGGUACCCUGCUGCCUGCCCAGGGUGGGGCCGGCAGUGCAUCGAGUUUUUAACAGGCAUUUCGAGAAGGAGCAGGAACCCACUUCGCAUCAGCCAGGGUGCAGCCAGGAAGAGGGAAGCUCCAGGCCAGCACUGAAGCUGGCCAUUCCAGCACCAUGCUGGGGUUAUGGGGGUGGGACACAGACCUCACGCUGCAGGAACGCCAGGGAAUGUGUGCUGUCCGCUCUGCCUCGCAUCUGGGGCUGUUGCUUCUUCCGAGGCAGGGCACUCGUGGGCUGCUUCCAGAGAUGUCCGCAUUUCUGGGCCUGGGAUGCUCUAGGCCUGGCUGUGGGGCCACCUAUAAUCUGCUCCCUACGGCGGCCGACGCGACGCCGCCGGGCGCAGCGAGUGGUGGGCGUGAGCUGUCAGUCGGCGAGGCGGCGGGCCGCACUUCCGCCUCGGUGUCAGUGGGUCGCGGGCCUGCGGGGCGGGGGCGGGGCGGCAGCGAGCUCUGCCAGCUACCGAGGGACCCGUGUCCAGGCAACUGUGGUCCCGACCCCUGGGAUCCCCGGCCCGGCUGCCCCGCGGAGCAGAAAGUGGGGACAGGCGCACCUGCUCGCGGCCUCGCGCCCGCCCCCUCUCUGGGAACAGGGAAGGGUUUCGUGCGCAUUUAG